rnacentral:rRNA from 1 species
AUUGAACGCUGGCGGCAGGCCUAACACAUGCAAGUCGAGCGGAUGAAGGGAGCUUGCUCCUGGAUUCAGCGGCGGACGGGUGAGUAAUGCCUAGGAAUCUGCCUGGUAGUGGGGUAUAACGUCCGGAAACGGGCGCUAAUACCGCAUACGUCCUGAUGGAGAAAGUGGGUGAUCUUCGGACCUCACGCUAUCAGAUGAGCCUAGGUCGGAUUAGCUAGUUGGUGGGGUAAAUGCCUACCAAGGCGACGAUCCGUAACUGGUCUGAGAGGAUGAUCAGUCACACUGGAGCUGAGACACGGUCCAGACUCCUGCGGGACGCCGCAGUGGGGAAUAUUAGACAAUGGGCGAAAGCCUGAUACAGCCAUGCCGCGUGUGUGACGAAGGUCUUCGGAUUGUAAAGCACUUUAAGUUGGGAGGAAGGGCAGUAAGUUAAUACCUUGCUGUUUUGACGUUACCAACAGAAUAAGCACCGGCUAACUUCGUG